rnacentral:rRNA from 1 species
CUAGUAAUGGCAGGUCAGCAUACUGCCGUGAAUACGUUCCCGGGCCUUGUACACACCGCCCGCCACACCAUGAGAGUUGGGAAUACCCGAAGCCUGUGAGCUAACAUUUAUGAGGCAGCAGUCGAAGGUAGAAUCAAUGAUUGGGGUGAAGUCGUAACAAGGUAUC